AUGCGGGCCUCCAGCAGGACUGCUUGCUGUGUCAACCCAGCAAGGGUGGCUUCCUACCUGAUGGCCGCUCUCUGGGGCAGCCCCUCCCCCAGUGCCAAAGACACUGAGAAGAUCCCAGACAGCUUCAGCAUCGAGGGAGACAACCAGCUCAACAAGGUCACCAGUGAGCCGAAUGGAGAAAACGUGGAAGAUGUCAUUGCCCAGGGCGGUGGCAAGCUUGCCAGUGUACCUGCUGGCAGGGCUGUGGCCGUCUCUGCUGCCCCAGGUGCUGCAGCGCCUGCUGCUGGUUCUGCCCCUGCUACAGCAGAGGAGAAGAAAGAUGAGAAGAAGGAGGGGUCUGGAGAAUUAGAUGAUGACAUGAGAUUUGGCCUAUUCGAUUAAAUUCCUGCUCUCCUCAAAUAAAGCCUUUUUA